GCAUAGCUUAGUUGAUAGUAGCACUAGGCUGUCAUUUGAGGGGACCUGGGUUCAAACCCAGUUGCCUGC
rnacentral:tRNA from 1 species